rnacentral:snoRNA from 1 species
UAAUGAUGAUGAGGGCAACACAUCAAGAUUGAUUUAAACCUGUCCCAAACUUGGUACAAGUUCUCACCACCUUUCUACUUAAAAUGCAAAAUAUCACUCCUAAGCUU